CGGUGGAAUGCGCAGAUAUCAGGAGGAACACCAGUGGCGAAGGCGGUUCUCUGGACCUUUCCUGACGCUGAGGAGCGAAAGCGUGGGGAGCGAACAGGCUUAGAUACCCUGGUAGUCCACGCUGUAAACGGUGGGUACUAGGUGUGGGGUCCAUUCCACGGAUUCCGUGCCGUAGCUAACGCUUUAAGUACCCCGCCUGGGGAGUACGGCCGCAAGGCUAAAACUCAAAGGAAUUGACGGGGCCCCGCACAAGCGGCGGAGCAUGCGGAUUAAUUCGAUGCAACGCGAAGAACCUUACCUGGGUUUGACAUGGAUCAGGAGUGCUCAGAGAUGGGUAUGCCUCUUUUGGGGUUGGUUCACAGGU
rnacentral:rRNA from 1 species